UAGAGAGUAGUGUACUGGAAGCACGAAGAGUUUUGAUCUCUUAAGAAAAGGUCCAAAUCCUUUCUCCCUAA
rnacentral:tRNA from 1 species